AAACCAUGUUAGGAGGGCAUCUCCUGAUCAUCUGUUUGUAUCUUUUCCAGGCCUCAUAGAGGGACUCUCCAUCUUUCUGUCUGAAGAUCUAGACAUCUACCCUAAGCUU